AGACAACGAUGGAUAGGGGUUCUGAGAGGAAGGUCCCCCACAUUGGAACUGAGACACGGUCCAAACUCCUACGGGAGGCAGCAGUGAGGAAUAUUGGUCAAUGGACGAGAGUCUGAACCAGCCAAGUAGCGUGAAGGAUGACUGCCCUAUGGGUUGUAAACUUCUUUUAUAUGGGAAUAAAAUGUUCCACGUGUGGGAUUUUGUAUGUACCAUAUGAAUAAGGAUCGGCUAACUCCGUGCCAGCAGCCGCGGUAAUACGGAGGAUCCGAGCGUUAUCCGGAUUUAUUGGGUUUAAAGGGAGCGUAGGUGGAUUGUUAAGUCAGUUGUGAAAGUUUGCGGCUCAACCGUAAAAUUGCAGUUGAAACUGGCAGUCUUGAGUACAGUAGAGGUGGGCGGAAUUCGUGGUGUAGCGGUGAAAUGCUUAGAUAUCACGAAGAACUCCGAUUGCGAAGGCAGCUCACUGGACUGCAACUGACACUGAGGCUCGAAAGUGUGGGUAUCAAACAGGAUUAGAUACCCUGGUAGUCCACACAGUAAACGAUGAAUACUCGCUGUUUGCGAUAUACAGCAA
rnacentral:rRNA from 1 species